rnacentral:rRNA from 1 species
UACGAAGGGGGCUAGCGUUGCUCGGAAUCACUGGGCGUAAAGGGAGCGUAGGCGGGUCGUCAAGUUGGGGGUGAAAGCCCAGGGCUCAACCUUGGAACUGCCUUCAAAACUGACGAUCUAGAGUAUGGAAGAGGUAAGUGGAACUCCGAGUGUAGAGGUGAAAUUCGUAGAUAUUCGGAAGAACACCAGUGGCGAAGGCGACUUACUGGUCCAUGACUGACGCUGAGGCUCGAAAGCGUGGGGAGCAAACAGG